GAUGAACGCUGGCGGCGUGCCUAAUACAUGCAAGUCGAGCGAACGGACGAGAAGCUUGCUUCUCUGAUGUUAGCGGCGGACGGGUGAGUAACACGUGGAUAACCUACCUAUAAGACUGGGAUAACUUCGGGAAACCGGAGAUAAUACCGGAUAAUAUUUUGAACCGCAUGGUUCAAAAGUGAAAGACGGUCUUGCUGUCACUUAUAGAUGGAUCCGCGCUGCAUUAGCUAGUUGGUAAGGUAACGGCUUACCAAGGCAACGAUGCAUAGCCGACCUGAGAGGGUGAUCGGCCACACUGGAACUGAGACACGGUCCAGACUCCUACGGGAGGCAGCAGUAGGGAAUCUUCCGCAAUGGGCGAAAGCCUGACGGAGCAACGCCGCGUGAGUGAUGAAGGUCUUCGGAUUGUAAAACUCUGUUAUUAGGGAAGAACAGAUGUGUAAGUAACUGUGCACAUCUUGACGGUACCUAAUCAGAAAGCCACGGCUAACUACGUG
rnacentral:rRNA from 1 species